ACCCGCUGAACUUAAGCAUAUCAAUAAGCGGAGGAAAAGAAACCAACAGGGAUUGCCCCAGUAACGGCGAGUGAAGCGGCAACAGCUCAAAUUUGAAAUCUGGAGCCUUCGGCUUCCGAGUUGUAAUUUGCAGAGGGUGCCUCGGAGGGCGAGUCGGUCCAAGUGCCUUGGAACAGGAUACCGCAGAGGGUGAGAGUCCCGUAUCCGGCCGGCGACGCGCUCCGUGUGAGGCCCCUUCGACGAGUCGAGUUGUUUGGGAAUGCAGCUCUAAGUGGGUGGUAAAUUCCAUCUAAAGCUAAAUACUGGCCAGAGACCGAUAGCGAACAAGUAGAGUGAUCGAAAGAUGAAAAGCACUUUGAAAAGAGAGUCAAACAGUACGUGAAAUUGUUGAAAGGGAAGCGCAUGGGGGCAGACUUGGCCGCGGGGUUCAGGGUGCGUUCUCGCGCCUGCACUUCCCCGCGGACAGGCCAGCAUCGGUUCUGGGGGCCGGACAAAGGCGACGGGAAUGUGGCAGCCUUCGGGCUGUGUUAUAGCCCGGCGCGCAAUGCGGCCACCCGGGACCGAGGACCGCGCUUCGGCAAGGAUGCCGGCGUAAUGGCCUC
rnacentral:rRNA from 1 species